rnacentral:rRNA from 1 species
UACAGAGGGGGCAAGCGUUAUUCGGAAUUAUUGGGCGUAAAGGGCGCGUAGGCGGCGAUUCAAGUGACGGGUGAAAUCCCUCGGCUUAACCGAGGAACUGCCUGUCAGACUGGAUUGCUUGAGUCCGGGAGAGGCGAGUGGAAUUCCCAGUGUAGCGGUGAAAUGCGUAGAUAUUGGGAGGAACACCAGUGGCGAAGGCGGCUCGCUGGACCGGAACUGACGCUGAGGCGCGAAAGCGUGGGGAGCGAACAGG